UACGUAGGGGGCAAGCGUUGUUCGGAAUUACUGGGCGUAAAGGGCGCGUAGGCGGCCCGGCAAGUCAGGCGUGAAAGGCCUGGGCUCAACCGAGGAACUGCUUUUGAGACUGCCGAGCUAGAGUGCAGAAGGGGCAACUGGAAUUCCCAGUGUAGCGGUGAAAUGCGUAGAUAUUGGGAAGAACACCUGAGGCGAAGGCGGGUUGCUGGGCUGACACUGACGCUGAGGCGCGAAAGCCAGGGGAGCAAACGGG
rnacentral:rRNA from 1 species